GCUUAUUCAUUCUAAAGAAGCCUCUUUAUAAUCAGUUUUUGGAUAUUGUUAAUAUAUUUUGAUAAAAUUUUUACAUACUUGACUAUGUUGACUGAUUUUAUUGUAAUUGCUUUUACAUUAAUGAAUACUGUGGUUUCAUUAAUAUUCAAGGAUAUCAAUUUUCGUGGAUGAAGUGAAAAUCACAGUUUCAAUGAUAGGUAAAUUCAUGGCCAAUGACCCUAUCAAUAUCAAAUGUUAAUAGAAAUUGCACUUUGAUGAACAUUUGAUUUCGUUGAUCAACUAAACAACGAAAUCCACGAAAAUUGGUAUUCAAGGAAUAAUGAUAAAACCACAGUAUUAUAUAUGAGAAAAUAUGUACAGAUACAUGUACAUGUAGUUUGUGCCAUGUACAUAUUGUAUAAUACAGGACAAGAUAUUGUCCUAUAUAUUUGCUAUUAAACAUCAGUUAAAACAUGUAUUUAUAAAUAUGAUGUUAAUGAUUACUAUUAAACCACUUUACAUCCAUU
rnacentral:misc_RNA from 1 species